UACGUAGGGGGCAAGCGUUGUCCGGAAUCAUUGGGCGUAAAGAGCGCGUAGGCGGUCCGGUAAGUCCGCUCUGAAAGUCCGGGGCUCAACCCCGGGAGGCGGGCGGAUACUGUCGGGCUAGAGUACGGAAGAGGCGAGUGGAAUUCCUGGUGUAGCGGUGGAAUGCGUAGAUAUCCGAAGGAACACCGGUGGCGAAGGCGGCACGCUGGGUCCCUACUGACGCUGAGACGCGAAAGCGUGGGGAGCAAACAGG
rnacentral:rRNA from 1 species